GGAAAUUGAUAUCAGAAAUUCAUUUUAUUUAUAUGCCAUGACUUACCAAAACAGAAAAAUAAGGGGAAAAAUAUUACUAGAAUUCCCAACACUCCCACCCCAUAUUAAGCUACAAUCAAGGAUGAACUUGAGAUCUGAUUAAUAGAAGGCUGAUCUGAGCAAAUAAAACAAGUCCAAAAAGAUUAAUUUCAGUACUUUUUGAGUUUUUGUUAAUGGAAGGAGAUGCCAAAUAGUUGAAUAUGGCAAAGACAUUAGGAAUCACCCAGCACCAGUAAAAGGUAGAACAUCACAAGAUAAUAUUGCUAGAUACAGAUACAAUUUAUUCUCACAAGGGAAGCUUAGUUUACAGGUUUAAAGAUGCUGAAUAGUGAAAAGGUUGAUGGCUUUAGGUAGCAACAAGAUUAAUGCAAAUCCUACUGAAAUGGAAAAUAUCUUUAAAAUGGAUGAUACAUAAAGAUGAAUGCAUGAUUAUGCAUUGCAUAAAAGUUAUGUUUGUACCUGAGCCAUUAGCGAGAAUAGCUAAACAGGCAUAAUUGUUUUCAAGCACACUAGUCAAAAUUGCAACGAAGAAUUCCUUCUAAAUAAUAUAUAAUCAACCUUAACAUUCAUAGAGUUAACAAACAGUGGUAAAUCAAAGUAAUGGAAGUCCAUUAC
rnacentral:misc_RNA from 1 species